ensembl:lncRNA LINC03070 long intergenic non-protein coding RNA 3070
GGAAUUCAAGCUUCUGGAUUCCAGAUCUUCCUGGAGGCUGGAAGCCCAAGAUCAAGGUGUCGACAAGGCUCGUGCUUCCUGAGGCCUCUCUCCCUGGCUUGUAGAACCCAUCUUCUCCCUGUGUCCUCACACAGUUGUCCCUCUAAACCCAUGCUAUGGACAGCCCUAUGGAAAAAGCAACCUGGAGAAGAAUUUUAGCCUCCCAAGCAUCACCAUAGUUGUCCUUUGGAAGAAGAUCAUCCAGCUCAAGUUCAGUCUCAAAUGACUGCACCCCCAGCUGACAACUGGACUGCACCAGAAUCAAUCACCUGAACUGCUCACCAAGUCCCAACCUAAAGAAGACAUGAGAAGGUCACUUGAGGGUCAUGAAAAAAUUUGCAGAAGGAAUGAAUGCCUUGAAGGACGUUGCGACCAGCUGCUGAUACCCAGGAAUCUGGUUGCUCAAGAUGUUACCUGAGAAUAAAGAAACGCAGACUUUUCCCCCUCACUUCCCUGAAACUGCCUCUCCUUUACUCCUUAGCUACCUAAAAACUCACUGCUUCCUCUUUUUGUUAAGAUGGAUUUGAGACAUCUUGCUCUCCCAACUUCUUGCUUUGACCAAAUUGAAUAAAUCUUGUUUGAUCUCCAA